GCAUUUUCAUACAGCUAGCGAUCCUUAGAGAUGAUGCAUGUCUCUAAACACUCCUUAGGCGCUGGAUGAUGCGAUGCACAGUACAACAGUCAUCCUAUUUAAAAGUGCUUCCCAUCCGGAAGCUUUAUUUUUAAACUCUAAUUAAUCAUUCAUAAAAAUCAUUCAAAAACCUUUUAAAACUAUUUCCUACUCGGAAAAUCCAUUUUGAAAACUGACUACCUCGAGGGGUAGAAAACCACGAUACAUAAAUACACAAAUCCAAGAACCAAUUAUCCAUAAAACCAAAAUCACAGAUCCAAAAAAUCCCCAAUCGCAUGCAUAAUGAAAAUCACCAACUCAAACAAGUUCACGAACAUUCAAACAUUCAUAG
rnacentral:lncRNA from 1 species